CUUUCCAGAUGAGCAGCGGCAUCUCCAGUGACGCAGGGCCGCUCCUGGGCUUCCACUCAGCCGGGCGGCGCUGGGAGGGGCAGAUGCCAGGGGGCUCUGGAGCGCCAGCUGCCGACCCGGUCUGAGCUCGAAGGCGACCCGCCCGGGCGGCCGCAGGGCCCGGGGCGGCCUCGGGGUGGCUGGCGCCUUCCGGGGGCGUUCCUGGGGGCCGGGGGCUGGCGGGGUUAGACCCAACGCGCCCGGGAGGAGCCGGCCGGCAGCCACGUGACCGACCGCGGCGGGGCCGGCGGCCCAGAAAUAGCAGCGGCGGCGGUUCCGCCCGCGGGUGGCGCGAGCGGCGGGCGAGACGGGAGGACGCGGCUGGGCGCGGGCGCGGCGCGGCCCCGGCCCCGGAGGAUGCUGCUGAGCCCCGGCCCGGCCCGGCCCCGAGCUCAUGAUGGCGAUACGGGAGCUCAAAGUGUGUCUCCUCGGGGACACUGGGGUUGGGAAAUCAAGCAUCGUGUGUCGAUUUGUCCAGGAUCACUUUGACCACAACAUCAGCCCUACCAUUGGGGCGUCUUUUAUGACCAAAACUGUGCCUUGUGGAAAUGAACUUCACAAGUUCCUCAUCUGGGACACUGCUGGUCAGGAACGGUUCCAUUCACUGGCUCCCAUGUACUACCGAGGGUCUGCUGCGGCUGUCAUUGUAUAUGAUAUUACCAAACAGGAUUCAUUUCAUACUUUGAAGAAAUGGGUCAAAGAACUGAAAGAACAUGGUCCAGAAAACAUUGUAAUGGCUAUUGCUGGAAACAAAUGUGAUCUCUCAGAUAUUAGGGAGGUUCCCCUGAAGGAUGCUAAGGAAUAUGCUGAAUCUAUAGGUGCCAUCGUGGUGGAAACAAGUGCAAAAAAUGCUAUUAAUAUCGAAGAGCUCUUUCAAGGAAUCACUAAUUAAUGAAGGUGACAGCUCCGUUCUUUGUCCCCAGUUCCUGGGUUAUGUUAUGCUUCACGUUCUCCUAUGCUGGUUGCCAUGAGUGACAUUAUCAGAGCUGUCUCCCAGCGGAUGGCCUCGCUGACACAUUUGUCUGCAGCUGUGAGGCUUCGAACGCACCAGAUUUCACCUUCAUAAAUUCUCUGGCUGUGUCGUUUUGUUCUGGGUCAUUCUGUCCUGGGUCCCACUAGAGAAGUACCUGCUGACAGCUGUCCUGGGAAACUGCUCUGUGCCCUCAGGAAAGUGCACUCAGCCAUAACCCGGGAUGCUGGGAGAAGUUCGGUGAAAUGCUGGGUAUCCACCUUCGGAAAAGUUGAUCAGUUAGCAGUCGUCCUCAAAUAUCUUGGCCCUGGACAAUUCCAGAAGGGAAGCUGAUGGUUUGGUUUCUCUUGUGCCUGAGAUCAUUGUUGGCGGAGCUCUCAAAGUCAGUCGGCGUGGCUUCCCAGAACAGAUCUGAUUUCCGUGGAACUGGUUUGGGUCCAUUACUUCAGACUCUGAGAACCCACAGCAGGGUUCUUUUGUUUGCUUACGUUGGCUGACAGGAGAGCGACUUGUGCUGUGCAGAGAUGUGCAAAAGAAACUGCAGGCCGCCGGAUCCCACCCCUGGACCCCCAUGAAAAUGGAAACAAUGGAGCCAUCAAACUUGGGAAGCCCAGCACGCC